UAAAUUUGGAAUGCAAUCCCUGUGACAUC
rnacentral:piRNA from 1 species